rnacentral:snoRNA from 1 species
ACGCAUAAAUGUAAGAAAUAACUAUGAAGGUUUCUACAGUUGAUCUGAGCUCA